GGAACGGUUGAGAUGGAAGCUAGCAUUAUGGACGGUACGAAGAGACGAUGCG
rnacentral:sRNA from 1 species